CAGAGACCCUGGAAGGUUUGAGAAGUUGCCCUUGGUUCACAAAUUUCCUAUUGCAAUGGUCCUUCUUCCUUUUGAAUGAACUCUUCCCAGGAAGAAUCUUCCUCUUGUGAACAAUUGCAUUUUGAAAAGCUCACUGUUUUUUUUGAAGAGGGUUAUCAUCAUCUCUUCACUUCUCAUCCCUAGUACUGGGAUAGUCUGGAAGAUAUGAGAUGUUGUCCUUUGUUUACAGAUUUCCUAUUGUGACCUUCCCUGUUCCCUUUCAAAGGAUUAUUCCCCCAAAGAACUGAACAAUCUUCCUCCUGGGGACAAAUUUCAUUUUUAAAAACUCACAAUUACUUUUCAGAGGAUUCUUCUCUUGAAGAACUGAGCAACCUUCCACUUCUGGACAAAUUUCAUUGAGAAAAGAUCAUUGUUUCUUUUCAAAGGACUGGUAUACCUUCAAAGAUUUUGGAAGUCAUCUUCACAAAUUUUAUUUGCAGCCAUCCCUCUUUCCUUUGAAAGGGAAGAGUCCUAAAGAUGAGGGGUGUUACAUGAUUUGAUCAGCUUGGCACAUCUGGAAGAAUGGAGAAAUCUUCCUCCUGUGGACAAAUUUCAUUUUGAGAGGCUUACAGUUUCUUUUCAAAGG